rnacentral:rRNA from 1 species
GGCCUAACACAUGCAAGUCGAACGAGAAGCCACCUUCGGGUGGUGGACAGUGGCAGACGGGUGAGUAACGCGUGGGAACGUGCCUUUCGGUUCGGGAUAACCCAGGGAAACUUGGGCUAAUACCGGAUACGCCCUCCGGGGGAAAGAUUCAUCGCCGAAAGAUCGGCCCGCGUCGGAUUAGCUAGUUGGUAGGGUAAUGGCCUACCAAGGCGACGAUCCGUAGCUGGUUUGAGAGGAUGACCAGCCACACUGGGACUGAGACACGGCCCAGACUCCUACGGGAGGCAGCAGUGGGGAAUAUUAGACAAUGGGCGAAAGCCUGAUCCAGCCAUGCCGCGUGGGAUUGAAGGCCUUAGGGUUGUAAACCC